UACGUAGGGUGCAAGCGUUGUCCGGAAUUAUUGGGCGUAAAGAGCUCGUAGGCGGUUUGUCGCGUCUGCUGUGAAAACUCGGGGCUCAACUCCGAGCUUGCAGUGGGUACGGGCAGACUAGAGUGCGGUAGGGGAGGCUGGAAUUCCUGGUGUAGCGGUGAAAUGCGCAGAUAUCAGGAGGAACACCGGUGGCGAAGGCGGGUCUCUGGGCCGUAACUGACGCUGAGGAGCGAAAGCGUGGGGAGCGAACAGG
rnacentral:rRNA from 1 species